CCUACGGGAGUCAGCAGUGGGGAAUAUUGGACAAUGGGGGCAACCCUGAUCCAGCCAUGCCGCGUGUGUGAAGAAGGCCCUCGGGUUGUAAAGCACUUUCAGUGAGGAAGAACGCCUGGUGGUUAAUACCCAUCAGGAAAGACAUCACUCACAGAAGAAGCACCGGCUAACUCCGUGCCAGCAGCCGCGGUAAUACGGAGGGUGCGAGCGUUAAUCGGAAUUACUGGGCGUAAAGCGCGCGUAGGUGGCUUGAUAAGCCGGUUGUGAAAGCCCCGGGCUCAACCUGGGAACGGCAUCCGGAACUGUCAAGCUAGAGUGCAGGAGAGGAAGGUAGAAUUCCCGGUGUAGCGGUGAAAUGCGUAGAGAUCGGGAGGAAUACCAGUGGCGAAGGCGGCCUUCUGGACUGACACUGACACUGAGGUGCGAAAGCGUGGGUAGCAAACAGGAUUAGAUACCCCUGUAGUC
rnacentral:rRNA from 1 species